rfam:Callipepla squamata strain Texas jcf7180005234490, whole genome shotgun sequence.
GUCAGGAUGGCCGAGUGGUCUAAGGCGCCAGACUCAAGGCGUGCCGCGCCUUCCCAUGGCGGUUGGGUAUUCUGGUCUCCGAAUGGAGGCGUGGGUUCGAAUCCCACUUCUGACA